rnacentral:tRNA from 1 species
UGGGGGAUCGUCCAACGGUAGGACACAUGACUCUGGAUCAUGGAAUCCUGGUUCGAAUCCAGGUCCCCCAGCCA